rnacentral:lncRNA from 1 species
AGAGAACUGAGGGAAUCCUCAUUAAUUGGGGAAUAGCUGAACAAGUUGUGGCUUAUAAUUAUUAUGGAGUACUAUUGUGUUAUAAGAAAUGACAAGAGGGAUGGUUUCAGAAAACGUGGCAAGAACUAUAUGAAUGUAAAAUGAGACAGACUGAGAGGUCAUUGUGCACAAUAACAAUAAUGUAAUGAUGAUGAGCUAUGAAAGACUUGGCUACUCCGAUCAACAUAGUGAUCUAAAGACAAUAUCAAAGAAUUCAUAAUGAAAAAAUGGUAGGCAAAUUUUUUCUGACUUCUUGAGGGCAGUGUCUUUGCCUUUGUAUCUGUAGGGCCUCGUGAGAUACUUAACACUCACUAAGUGCUUAAUGUUUGUUAUUUAUCAGUUCCUGCCUAUUACCUCUUGGAUGAAAAGAAAAUCUGGUGUUUAAAGUCUUUUACAACUUGGCUCCAGACUACUUCAUUGCACAUUAUUUUCUUUCCUGCAACCUGCAAUCUGGCCAAAUUGUCUUAAUUGCUUAGGUCAAUAUUCCUCUUUUUCCUAGGUCCUGGAAUGCAUUCUGACCUAUCUUCUACUCCUUAGAAUUUCAUAUUUUCUUCAAGACUCAGUUCAGAAACCAUCUCGGGUGGGAAAACCCUCUUAAAGUUCUUAACUGUUAGUGUUCUCAAUCUCCCUACUGUGUUCACAAUUGCCUAUUUUCAGGUGGUAGUCUUGGGCUCACUGAAGGCAACAGAGAUAAAAGCUAGAGCUGCAAUUAGGGACUGAAAUCCCAUCUUUGACAUUUCUUGGCUAUAUGACCCUGCUGUUCACCAUAACUCUCAAAGACUGUAAAUUGAAGAAUUUUUGUGGAUGUGGGUUUCCACUCAUCUGGACCCUGCUACCCAGAAUGUAAGCGCAUUGAGGGCAGGUUUUCACUUUCUUUUUACAUCCAAUGCCUAAUACACAGUGUUUAGUAAGUGUUUGUUGGUUUGGAUUGGUUUUAACGCCUAGUUUUCCUUCUCUAUCAUUUAAAAAAAAAUGUUAAGUUUAUGGAAUAAAAUACUUUUUUUUUUUAGCUUUUUAUUUUGUGUAGAUGGUUUUCAACACUCACCCUUGCAAAACCUUGUGUUCCAAAUUUUUUUUCCGCUUCCUUCUCCCCACCUCCACCCCUAGACAGCAAGAAAUCCAAUAUAGGUUAAACAGGCACAAUUCUUCCAUAUAUAUUUCUACGAUGCACAAGAAAAUCAAAUUAAAAAGGAAAAAUGAUAAAGAAAACAAAAAGAAAGCAAACAACAAAAAGAGUGAAAGUACUAUGUUGUGAACCACAUUCAGUUCCCACACUCCUCUCUCUGGGUGCAAAGGACUCUCUUCAUCAUAAGACCAUAAGAAUUGGCCUGAAUCAACUCACUGUAAAACGAGCAUUUUUAUAACAGUACAAUAAAAAAAUGAAUAUAAAUUAAACUGCCAAUCUGCCAUGCACAACUUGAAAUGAUUGAGAUUCUUUUUUUUUUUUUUGAAGAUUAUUUAAGCCUUGUUUUUUAUUCAAAAUCAUCAUUUUUUUUUUUAAAUUUAAUAGCCUUUUAUUUACAGGUUAUAUGCAUGGGUAACUUUACAGCAUUGACAUUUGCCAAACCUCUUGUUCCAAUUUUUCCCUCUUUCUCCCACCCUCUCCCCCAGAUGGCAGGAUGAUCAGUAGAUGUUAAAUAUAUUAAAAUAUAAAUUAGAUACACAAUUAGUAUACAUGACCAAACCGUUAUUUUGCUGUACAAAAAGAAUCAGACUCUGAAACAGUGUACAAUUAGCCUGUGAAGGAAAUAAAAAAUGCAGGUGGGCACAAAUAUCGGGAUUGGGAAUUCAAUGUAAUGGUUUUUAGUCAUCACCCAGAGUUCUUUCUCUGUGCGUAGCUGGUUCAGUUCAUUACUGCUCCAUUAGAAAUGAUUUGGUUGAUCUCGUUGCUGAGGAUGGCCUGAUCCAUCAGAACUGGUCAUCAUCUAGUAUUGUUGUUGAAGUAUAUAAUGAUCUCCUGGUCCUGCUCAUUUCACUCAGCAUCAGUUCGUGUAAGUCUCUCCAGGCCUUUCUGAAAUCAUCCUGUUGGUCAUUUCUUACAGAACAGUAAUAUUCCAUAAUAUUUAUAUACCACAAUUUAUUCAAUGAUUGAGAUUCUAAGGACAACGUCAGAAGAGGCAAUGUAGUGUAUCAUACAGCAGGGAUAUCAUACUCAAAUACAAACAGAGGCCAUUAAACUGUACAUAAUGAUCCUAAACCACAAAUUAACAUUAUGUUUUAUUGUAUUUUUAUUUUGUCAAAUAUUUCCCAAUAAAAUUUUAAUCUGCUGCAUUUCAAAGAUGAGGUUUCCAGGAAGGCGGGGUGUUGGGCACCUCUGGUGUGGAGGAAAACUCCCUGGACUGGGUCAAGAGCUUGGUUCUAAUGCUAUGUUAAAUUGGAAGUAUAUCCAAAAAAGCCAAACACCACAGAUCUUUGUAGUACAGAUUCACACCUUCAUGUUCAGUCUUCUUUUUCUCUUCUUUGUAGAGAGAUGUUCACAUUUGUUUAUAUUAAUUUAUGGUUUUUUUUUUUUAAAAGAAAAACAUUCUUCAAUGUUUUCAAAAAAGAAUGAGGUUCUAGUCCCAGCAAUCACUAGUUAGUUUGUAGGAUUGUAGAUUUUGUGCUAAAAGUAUCUCGAAAUUCAUUCGCUUCUGUUUUGCAGAUGAGGGCAUUUAGGCACAGAGAUUAAACGGUUCCCCCAGGUAAUAAAUGAUAGAGCCAGUUCUUCUAACCCUAAACCCAGGGCUCUCGUCACUCUCUGUACUCCAAUUUCUCUUCCAAGCUUUCUCGUAGUUCUAACACGCCGACCUUUCUCUUUAAAAAAAAUGGUCAGAAGCACCCUGUUUUGCAAGGGUGAAUGUUGAAAACUAUCUCUGUAUAUGUUAUUCUUUUUUAAAAAAAUUUAAUAGCCUUUUAUUUACAGGAUAUAUGCAUGGGUAACUUUACAGCAUUGACAAUUGCCAAACCUCUUGUUCCAGUUUUUCCCCUCUUUCCCCCCACCCCCUCCCCCAGAUGGCAGGAUGACCAGUAGAUGUUAAGAAAUUAUAAAUAUAUAUUAGAUAUAUAUUAGAUUAUAAUAUAUUAAUUAGAUACACAAUAUAUUAAAUUAGAUACACAAUUAGAUUAAUUAUAAUUACAUAUUAAAAUUAGAUUAAAUUAUAAUUUAGAUUAGAUACACAAUAUUAAUUAGAUUAAUUAUAAUUAUAUAUUAAAAUUAGAGUAAAUUAUAAUUUAGAUUAGAUACACAAUAAGUAUCUGUAUAUGUUAUGAAAAUAAAAAGCUAUUGUUAAAAAUGAGGGAUCUGAAAGCUACCGCUCACGUAUGAGAAGCUCUUACAAACAAUGCAGCCGGGUUCAGAUAUCCACCCCUCAAUGAGAACGACUAGCGCAGGUGAGAUGUCUAACCGCCUACACCGAACACGCUGACGGUUACUGAGGAAGCCUUCUUUGCCCGCCGCUGUGCUGACUUCGCCACCAGGCGGCGCACGCGAGCCCGGAGUUUCUGAUAAAGGACCGCAUUCCCGUUAGAGUUUAGUUACGGAGAGGUCCGGAGCUCGCCGCUCCCGCCACAGCCGGGACGCGGAUGCAGAACGCGCCCCUCAGGCGGGGCUGGCCCGCACCCGUCCCGGCCCAGCUAAGCCCCCGCCUCUGCGGGGGGCCUCCCCGGGGACCAGGCCGCUGUUGGCUUCCCCGCGCGAGCUCCUGCGUCUGCUCUCGGGGCAUCGCGGACUGACCUGAAACGUAUUGGGGGCUGCAGGUGACCACCUUCCUUUGCCGAGUGAGAGCGCCCGCUCCCUGGGGAAGUCAGUCCCUCCGUCCCUCCCACGCCCCCCCUCCCCUUUGUGUCCAGAAGGGGAAAGCCGGCACCCUCUUUUCUGGCCGUAUCCUCAGGCGGGUUUUAAGCUCCCCGAUGGUGGCCACAAAACCUCAUAGAUCGGAGCUACUCCAAAAACAUUCUCUUUCCCUUUCCGGUGACUGGCUUUUGCAGGUGAGCUUUCUGGCUCCCUUUUCUUGCCCUCCGAGCUUCAAGGCUCAGCCCUGGUUGCUGCUGCAAGAAUUACGUUUCACCUUUCCUUUAGCUUAAUUGUUCUUUCCUGCUAAGCCCCUGCGGUUACCGUGAAAUUUGCAUCAGGCGGGUGCGGUUUUGCCGCUGGAGGACGCGGCUGUUCCCUUGAUUUCCCCUUGUCCUCACGGGGGACCCAAGGCAGGUUUGGCCUCUAGAGAACCGGACUCGGGCCUGGGCAGCCUGCAGCUUUGUGACAGUCUCGCUGGCGGGCCACUUCAGUCCUGCUUGUAACGGCCCUCUUUGGGUUUUCUUGGCAAAGACCCUGGAGCGGUCGCCAUUUCCUUUUCCAGCUUAUUUUACAGAUGAGGAAACGGAGGCAAACAGGGUUAUGCGACUUGCUCAGAGUCACACUGACGUCAGGCCUGGCGUUCUAUCCACUCUGACGUGUAGUUUCCCAGGAAAGUCUAUUUUUAGAAAUGAAAGAGCUCGUAGCGCCACGAAUUGCCAAUUCAUGAGCUUUUGUAAAACUCACCCUCUAUACUUAAUAGAGGUGGCCAUGUCCCAAAUCGGUCACAUAAAUGUGCCAACUCCAAGAAGGCUGUGAAUUAUC